rnacentral:rRNA from 1 species
UACGUAGGGUGCGAGCGUUAAUCGGAAUUACUGGGCGUAAAGGGUGCGCAGGCGGCGUCGCAAGUCAGGCGUGAAAUCCCCGGGCUUAACCUGGGAACCUGCACUUGAAACUACGAUAGCUGGAGUAUGGCAGAGGGAUGCGGAAUUCCAGGUGUAGCGGUGAAAUGCGUAGAUAUCUGGAGGAACACCGGUGGCGAAGGCGCAUCCUGGACCGGCAUUGACGCUGAGGCGCGAAAGCCAGGGGAGCAAAGCGGGAUUAAGAUGACCCUUGUAG